rnacentral:sRNA from 1 species
AUGUUAGCGAGCUCAUCUUCUACCUUUUGGCGAUAACCCUUGAUUU